UGGAUUAGCGGCGGACGGGUGAGUAACACGUGAGUAACCUGCCUUAGACAUUGGGAUAGCCUCUGGAAACCGGGAUUAAUACCAAAUAAAAUCAUAAUGACACAUGUCAUAACGAUCAAAACUCCGGUGGUCUAAGAUGGACUCGCGUCCCAUUAGCUAGUUGGUAGAGUAAAAGCCUACCAAGGCGACGAUGGGUAGCCGGCCUGAGAGGGUGAACGGCCACAUUGGAACUGAGAAACGGUCCAA
rnacentral:rRNA from 1 species